rnacentral:rRNA from 1 species
GAUGAACGCUGGCGGCGUGCUUAACACAUGCAAGUCGAACGAAGCAAUUUUGAAACUUCGGUUUCAAAAUUGACUUAGUGGCGGACGGGUGAGUAACGCGUAGGUAACCUGCCUUAUACAGGGGGAUAACAGCUGGAAGCGGCUGCUAAUACCGCAUAACACAGUGAAGUCGCAUGACUUUAUUGCCAAAGAUUUAUCGGUAUAAGAUGGACCUGCGUCUGAUUAGCUAGUUGGUGAGGUAAUGGCUCACCAAGGCGACGAUCAGUAGCCGACUUGAGAGAGUGAUCGGCCACAUUGGGACUGAGACACGGCCCAAACUCCUACAGGAGGCAGCAGUGGGGAAUAUUGCACAAUGGGGGAAACCCUGAUGCAGCGACGCCGCGUGAGUGAUGAAGUAUUUCGGUAUGUAAAGCUCUAUCAGCAGGGACGAAAAAAGACGGUACCUGACUAAGAAGCCCCGGCUAACUACGUGCCAGCCGCCGCCGUAA